UACGGGGGGAGCAAGCGUUGUUCGGAUUUACUGGGCGUAAAGGGCGCGUAGGCGGCCACCGCAAGUCGACUGUGAAAUCUCUGGGCUUAACCCAGAAAGGUCAGCCGAUACUGCGGGGCUAGAGUGCAGAAGGGGCAACUGGAAUUCUCGGUGUAGCGGUGAAAUGCGUAGAUAUCAAGAGGAACACCUGCGGCGAAGGCGGGUUGCUGGGCUGACACUGACGCUGAGGCGCGAAAGCCAGGGGAGCGAACGGG
rnacentral:rRNA from 1 species